GAAAUGCGAUAAGUAAUGUGAAUUGCAGAAUUCAGUGAAUCAUCGAAUCUUUGAACGCACAUUGCGCCCAUCAGUAUUCUGGUGGGCAUGCCUGUUCGAGCGUCAUUUCAACCCUUAAGCCUAGCUUAGUGUUGGGAAUCGACCGUAGGGUCGUUCCUUAAAGACAGUGGCGGAGCGGCAGUGGUCCUCUGAGCGUAGUAAAUUUAUUUCUCGCUUUUGUCAGGCCCUGUCCUCCAGCCAUAAAACCCCCAAUUUUUUAGUGGUUGACCUCGGAUCAGGUAGGAAUACCCGCUGAACUUAA
rnacentral:misc_RNA from 1 species